GACGAACGCUGGCGGCGUGGAUUAGGCAUGCAAGUCGAACGGUAUCAUCCUUUCGGGGGUGAGAGAGUGGCGAACUGGUGAGUAACACGUAGGUUAUCUACCCUCAAGACGGGGACAACCCAGGGAAACUUGGGCUAAUACCGGAUGUGAGCAACUUUUUAGUUGUUUGAAAGGUGGCGUAAGCUGUCGCUUGGGGAUGAGCCUGCGUCCUAUUAGUUAGUUGGUGAGGUAACGGCUCACCUAGGCAAUGAUAGGUAGGCGGCCUUAACGGGUGUCGCCCACACUGGGAUUGAGAUACGGCCCAGACUCCUACGGGAGGCAGCAGUCGAGAAUAGUCUACAAUGGUCGGAAGACUGAUAGUGCGACGCCGCGUGAACGAUGAAUCCCUUCGGGGUGUAAAGUUCUUUUAUAUGUGAGCAGUGCUUCUUAUAUUAACAGUAUGGGGAGAGAGAUAUUAGCAUAUGAAUAAGCAACGGCUAACUCCGUGCCAGCAGCCGCGGUAAGCUCG
rnacentral:rRNA from 1 species